rnacentral:rRNA from 1 species
UACGAAGGGGGCUAGCGUUGCUCGGAAUCACUGGGCGUAAAGGGUGCGUAGGCGGAUGUUUAAGUCAGAGGUGAAAGCCCAGGGCUCAACCUUGGAACUGCCUUUGAUACUGGGCAUCUUGAGUAUGGGUGAGGUGAGUGGAACUCCGAGUGUAGAGGUGAAAUUCGUAGAUAUUCGGAAGAACACCAGUGGCGAAGGCGACUUACUGGACACGUAUUGACGCUGAGGUGCGAAAGCGUGGGGAGCAAACAGG